AGAGUUUGAUCCUGGCUCAGGAUGAACGCUGGCGGUCUGCUUAACACAUGCAAGUCGAACGGGAAUCUUCGGAUUCUAGUGGCGGACGGGUGAGUAACGCGUGAGAAUCUGCCUUCAGGACGGGGAUAACAGUUGGAAACGACUGCUAAGACCGGAUGUGCCGAGAGGUGAAAUAUUUAUAGCCUGAAGAUGAGCUCGCGUCCGAUUAGCUAGUUGGUAAGGUAAAAGCUUACCAAGGCGACGAUCGGUAGCUGGUCUGAGAGGACGAUCAGCCACACUGGGACUGAGACACGGCCCAGACUCCUACGGGAGGCAGCAGUGGGGAAUUUUCCGCAAUGGGCGAAAGCCUGACGGAGCAAGACCGCGUGGGGGAGGAAGGUUCUUGGAUUGUAAACCCCUUUUCUCAGGGAAGAACACAAUGACGGUACCUGAGGAAUCAGCAUCGGCUAACUCCGUGCCAGCAGCCGCGGUAAUACGGAGGAUGCAAGCGUUAUCCGGAAUAAUUGGGCGUAAAGCGUCCGUAGGUGGCUGUUCAAGUCUGCCGUUAAAGACCGGGGCUUAACCCUGGAAAGGCGGUGGAAACUGAACGGCUAGAGUGCAGUAGGGGUAGAGGGAAUUCCCAGUGUAGCGGUGAAAUGCGUAGAGAUUGGGAAGAACACCGGUGGCGAAAGCGCUCUGCUGGACUGCAACUGACACUGAGGGACGAAAGCUAGGGGAGCGAAUGGGAUUAGAUACCCCAGUAGUCCUAGCCGUAAACGAUGGAUACUAGGUGUGGCCUGUAUCGACCCGGGCCGCGCCGUAGCUAACGCGUUAAGUAUCCCGCCUGGGGAGUACGCACGCAAGUGUGAAACUCAAAGGAAUUGACGGGGGCCCGCACAAGCGGUGGAGUAUGUGGUUUAAUUCGAUGCAACGCGAAGAACCUUACCAGGACUUGACAUGUCCGGAACCCUCUUGAAAGAGAGGGGUGCCUUCGGGAACCGGAACACAGGUGGUGCAUGGCUGUCGUCAGCUCGUGUCGUGAGAUGUUGGGUUAAGUCCCGCAACGAGCGCAACCCUCGUCCUUAGUUGCCAGCAUUAAGUUGGGCACUUUAGGGAGACUGCCGGUGACAAACCGGAGGAAGGUGGGGAUGACGUCAAGUCAGCAUGCCCCUUACGUCCUGGGCUACACACGUACUACAAUGCUACGGACAAAGGGCAGCAAGUUAGCAAUGACAAGCAAAUCCCAUAAACCGUGGCUCAGUUCAGAUCGCAGGCUGCAACUCGCCUGCGUGAAGGCGGAAUCGCUAGUAAUCGCCGGUCAGCAUACGGCGGUGAAUCCGUUCCCGGGCCUUGUACACACCGCCCGUCACACCAUGGGAGUUGGCCACGCCCGAAGUCGUUACCCUAACCGCUUGCGGAGGGGGACGCCGAAGGCAGGGCUGAUGACUGGGGUGAAGUCGUAACAAGGUA
rnacentral:rRNA from 1 species